GAAAACGGCCAUAGUAAUCUGGAAAUACCUCUUCCCAUUCCGAACAGAGAAGUCAAGCAGAUUACGUCUGCUGCAUUAGUCUCCCACAAGAGGCGAAACACAGAUGCUGUCUUCU
rnacentral:rRNA from 1 species